ensembl:lncRNA
CUUAAGGCUAUGCGGCUCCUUGUAGGUUUGGAUCAGUAGAAAACGAGCCUAAAUAAUUCUUUUACUGUUAAAAGUUGCCGAUCUCUGAUAAACUUUUAAAAGAAAACAGUUUCGUUUCUGUGAAACAAGUCACGGGGACAGAAGGACCCGCCUCCAUCCUGUGAGUCCACCCAGUAUAUAUAUCAAGUCUCUGGCCCCGCCCUCCAGCCAGAAGUUCGGUAAACAGCAGCGUCGGUUCGUCGGUUCCGUGACCGUCGGUCCACUUUCAGCUGUGGUGAUGAAGAACCGGAAGUUCGACUGAACAUGGACUUCCUCUGCGUUCUGGUUCUGCUCCCGCUCAGCGUCGGUGCCGUUGAUCCAGAACUCAUCAUCACAGCUGAACGUGGACAGAACGUCUCUCUGACGUGCCGCGCCCCCCCCCUCCUGGAGGCGGGGUUCUGGAGUGGAGGCGGGUCGACCUGGGGGAGGAGUUGGUCUUCAGGGCCGGGCUCCUGGAUUCGGACCUGCAGCAUCCGUCUUUCAGGGGCCGCGUGUUUCUGGAGGACGGCGGGACGGAGGACGGAGACCCGUCUGUGGUUCUGGAGCGGGUGGACACGGCGGACUCCGGGACGUACUGGUGCCGGGUCCUGCGGGGAGGCGGCGGCGCUCGGCCGGACUCCGGGCCCGUCGGCGCCGUCCGGCUGGUCGUGGUUCCAGGUGAGUCCGAGGAGCUCCGUCAGAACCGGAGUCGGACCUCUGACGGUUCUGUCCCGCAGAGCUGGAGCUCAUCCAGGCGCAGAGCGGCCAGAGCGUCACGCUGCCGUGCCGCGGCGCCCACGUGGACCCGCAGGUGAACAUCGUGUGGAGCAGACACGACCCGGACCCGCGGGAGGUGCUGCUCAUCCAGGACGGCGUGGUUCUGGGCCAGCACCCGUCCUUCAGGAACCGCGUGGAGGUGGGGCGGGGGGCGGAGCGCGGGGACCUGUCCGUCACCCUGAAGAGCGUCACGCCUGAAGACUCGGGGACGUACGAGUGCAGGGCGGUCCGGAGGAGCGCCCCCCGCAGCAGGAGGUCCGGUCUGCAGGCCGGCCCCAUCAGCAGCGUGCACCUGUCCGUGUCUCCUGCAGGUGAGCCCCUCCCUCAGGUGAGACUGCGGGUCCCAGCCGACCCGGCAGCUGACGCAGAGUGCUUCUGCUCCUCAGCUGCAGGCUCCGCCCACAACGGGGGAGCAGAGGACGCCGUCCCCCCGGCGCUGAUGGCUGGAGCCUUCGCCGCCGGAGUGGCGCUGGGAGCGGCGGCGGCGGUGCUCGCCGUCGUCCUCCGCAGGAGGUCCGAGAGGCAGAACCGGGACGAGGUUCUGAUCCAAAAACUCCAGCCAGAGCGUGCAGCCGCAUAGAAUGGGUCGGGGGUUCGAACCCUCGACCUCGUGGAUCCUCCUGACCGGAGUCCAGCGGGUCGAGCUGCUGAGGUCUUUCAGACAGAACCUGUAGAACUGUUAGCGGGGGAGAGAAUGGACUCAGUCUGAUGUGUUUGUGUGUCAUUCUUCAUUUGUGCAAUAGACAUAAAAUGACUAGAUAGAAUCCACACAUGCACUAAUUAAACCUCCUCUAGUUACACACGUAUGUUGAGACUCUGAGUGAUGCGUUCAAGUGCUGCUAGAAUGCUGGUUCAUCAGAGUUCUCUUUAAGCUUAGCUUGUAAAUAAUAUCUGGUGAAACUUUCAUUUUCCUGCUUUCUUAAACAGACAUGAAUAAAUGAACAUUUUAAAAACACGUAAUCCUUUUAAAAAUAAAACUAUCUCCCAGAAACCAUCACUUCCUCCCUACGGCCCCGCCCCUGAUGGCUCCUCCCACCCCGGGUUCUGUCCCGAGCGCCGGUCACAGUCACGGGUCCAGACCCUGCCUGCAAUCACCGACAGUGUGGGAGGAGCUGUCGGGGGCGGGGCUAUAGAGAGGAAGUGAUCGGCUCUGGAAGAUUAUUUAUUUUAAAGGAAUAAGAGUUUAAAAACUCUAAUUUAUCAGAGAUAUCUGAUUAAGAAAGUGAGAAAAUGAAAGUUUCACCAGAUACUUUAAAGCAGCUGAUAGAACUCUCAUGAACGAGCAUUCUGGCAGUACUUGAACGCAUCACUCAUGGUUAAGUCAAUGAGACGUGAAGAGUCUCAGGAUGGAUUCAUGGGGGGUUCAGGUGUAGUUUUUAUAGAUUUGUGUCAUUAACUUCAACCUGUUGUCAUUUAAAUUCAUGAAUCUAUAAACUUUAUUUCUAUAAAUGUCAUCAUCUCGUAGUUAUGCAUAUAAUAAUGUAUUCUAUGAGUUAAUAAUCCCGUCUCACGCAUAAAUCAAACAUCACAGAUCAGGCUGAUACUCGCUUCUCUACAUAAUAAAACGAUGCGUUCAUGGUCCUAUAGUCUUUAUCACUAUCAGAACUUCAGAUUUUCACAUUAAAAGUAAAUCUGCUUUUGUUUUUCUAGAAGCUUUUAUUUUGAAGUUUUACUGUAUCUGUAUAAACCAUUAAAGCUUGAAUGAUGAGGACUCUGACUGUUCCUUCAACAAUAACCCUUCACAAUAAAACUAAAAAAGACUUCAGAAUAAAAGCCUGCACAGGAAGUGAAGGAAGUUUAAACUGCUGCUGAAGGCGGGACGUCCUGCAGAGCAGGA